AGAGAUCUUCAGGCAAAUCUUCUGGCCCUCACUUCAAGACUUCUGAUCCAAGGAGGAGUUUCUGACAACCAAAUGUAGGCAAUAUCCCAUGAGGAAAUGUUCAAGGAUGACAGAUCUGGUAGAAAAUUGUAGGUGAAUCAAACAAUUGACACUUUGUUGGCCCAGUUAUCAGAAAUUUGACUGGGUGAUGUGAUGAAAGUCAGAUUAUCUGGAGACACUGAAAAGAGGAAGGAAGAACGAAGUAAAGGUUAUGCUUCUAAGAGGAGAAGGGUACAGCUGUGCUGCAGAAGGCAAGGAGAGAAAGCAGGGAAAAAUGCUUUGAGCAGAGCUCAUGGAGAGAAGAACCUGCAAUUAAAGAGGAAUUGGCAA